rnacentral:lncRNA from 1 species
ACAUGGCAACAGAAAUUACGUUCGUUUCAUAAGUUUAAAGUUGUUAAUUAAACCCCUUUUAAUUUCGUUGAUAAAAACGUUGGGAGUUGUAAAACUUUGUCUUAUCUUGGCGGCGGGCGGGGGAACGAGCCCUCUUCCUUCUCUUCCGAUCCGGGCGCCGAGUCGGGAGGACGAGGCAACGAUGCUCCCUCAUCUUGGUGCAGUUCGCAUGUUUCCCUCUUCCGAAUCAAGCAGUUCGAGCGAGUGCAAAAUCGAAAACUUCGAUCGGUCCUCACUAUCUUGAUGAUGUUAAUUUCGUGCUAAUUGCUGCGAAGAGCCAAUUUCGAACUGUCGCUGAUGAAGAUUUUCAGUCUGGAUCCAAGAGCUGUGCCACAAAAUUGUGGACUCUUAUCUCUUACGAAACUGAAGAAGUUGUCUAUGAUGCUGUACCAAAUAUUUGGAUUAAACCGCCACAAAAGAGGAAACACUUUACCCAGUGGGUACUAAAACGGAAAUAAACUCGCUGGUAAAAAGAUGUGACAAGGCGGGAAGAAAAGAAUAAGGAUCCUUGACCUCGCUGAAAAUUAAAAAUAUUAUUAAAGAAAAUUAUUGUAAGUAUGCAUGAAGUAUUCUUUGCUUGCCUUCCUUUCAGUUUUAAGUGCAAAAUCCUGCUUUGCCAUUUCCCUAAAAGGAAUCACGCCCACUUUUACAUUGUUUCCUAGGCAGCUCAGCACGUGUACAGUACACCCUAUC